UACGUAGGGGACGAGCGUUGUCCGGAAUUACUGGGCGUAAAGGGAGCGUAGGCGGACUUUUAAGUGAGAUGUGAAAUACCCGGGCUCAACUUGGGUGCUGCAUUUCAAACUGGAAGUCUAGAGUGCAGGAGAGGAGAAUGGAAUUCCUAGUGUAGCGGUGAAAUGCGUAGAGAUUAGGAAGAACACCAGUGGCGAAGGCGAUUCUCUGGACUGUAACUGACGCUGAGGAGCGAAAGCAUGGGGAGGCGAACAGGAUUAGAUACCCCGUA
rnacentral:rRNA from 1 species